GUGCAGUGGGCAUAUCAGCUCAACACCCAUGGGGGAACCAACACUCUGGAGGCCCUGCAGACUGGCUGUGGGUUUGGGGACAGUGUGGGCCUGUACCUGCUGAGUGAUGGGAAGCCAGAUUCCAGCUGCAGCCUGGUGCUGAAAGAGACGGAGAGACUGACCACAGGGAACCACAUUACUAUCCACACUGUCUCAUUCAACUGCACAGACAGCUCAGCCAAUGACUUUCUGAAGAAACUGGCUCACCAAACUGGG